CCGAAACACACACUUACAGGAUAUGUGACACAGUCUCUGGACGGGAGAAAGUCGUACACCGUAAUCUGUUGAUGUUGGUGAAUUUCCUGCCUGUGGAAAACACAAGUGUGAUCUAUGACCCAGUCUCAUCUUUGUCUUCUGUUCAGCAGUCAAACCCAAGUGAGGACUCAGUGUCAAUAGUGAGACAAAGUCAUUUGCGUGACGACAUGAGUGAGGACUGUGAUGAUCUAAUUUCUAGCCCGGGAAUUCAGGGAGAACGGAUGGGACGAACAGAGGGAGGGAGAGUUGAAUCUGAUUCCAUAACUGUUCCAGGGCAAGUGGAUUCUGAGGGACGAACUGUAGAGUGGAUUGCACUAUCACCAUUCCCUGAUACCCCGCAAGCUGAGUCAGCUGAUAAUGGAGGAAUAGAAUCAGUUCCUCUUGUCUCUCAAAGUGACCCGGUAAUAUCUGAGGACAAGAUAGGAGACCAGUUCAUGGCCUCUGACUCUUCACCUGUGACAAGCACUGACGGUAGUACAGUUGUUGCCAGCAACAUGGAUGGACAGACUGUUGUAACACAGAUAGACAAAGCUAAUGACAUGGAUAGUGUUGACACAGUAGCUUCUGUUUCACAGUCUGAAAAUCCUAGUACGUUCACACAGGUGAGGUCUAGAUUUGGUCGCAUUCUUAAGCCAGUUGACAGACUAAUUCAAACUAUGUCAAGGCAAGAUAUUAUUCACGCACAUCCGUCUAUGACGGCUAUCUGGAAGUCAGUGUUUUAGGUUUUUCAUGACUAGACUUAGAGUUGAGGUCAUACACACGUUUGGUAACAUUGGUUAUAUGGUCCAAGCUUUUCUGGUGAGCUUUAUUAAAAGAAAUGUUUAUCUGUUUUUGUUUUCCUUACUUUUCUUAGUGGCUUUAGUACACAGUAUACGUGGGUCUUGUGGGGUGUAUAAGGCACCCUACUGCCAGUGGUUGGUUGGAGAGUUUGCGCACCUCUUCUUCCACUUCAUCCUUAUUGGAUACCUUUGGGUUGGCUGUCCUGUAAUUGGUGACCCUCUGUCUAGUGUUAGAAAGUAAUGUACUUAAAGUAUUGCCGCUCAAAUUUGGUGAAAUUCAGGGGAGGUGGGUGUAACAGAGUUAGAAAUGUCAGUUAGUGUUUGUAUGUGAUUUUCACCAUAAUUAAGCAGCUGUAUUGAGUUUGGUGUUUUGGAGCCCUCCUUUGGAGAAACGGUGUACUGCAGCUCUGCUGCGUUUUGUCCUUGUGUUGUUGCCAUACCCGAUCAGAAGCGGGAUGCUUUACAUCGGAUGCUGUUAUAUGUACACCAGUGCCUGAAGGCAUGUUUUGUUCUGAUUUUUCCAAAGGUAUGUUGCUUCAUAUGUUAAAUGUGAAUUAGUUUCAGAAUGAGGAAAUAUUUUCCUGUGUUUAUUUUUCUUAUGUUUAUUUUAUACCCUUCUUGUAUGCUAAAGGUGUAUCCUUCUGUAUGAAUGUUUCUUUUGUAACAAUUUACCAAAGAGAUGAGAAGCGGGAUGCUUUACAUCGGAUGCUGUUAUAUGUACACCAGUGCCUGAAGGCAUGUUUUGUUCUGAUUUUUCCAAAGAUUCUCCAAAGGAAUAAAUGUGAGAAAAGCCA